CCGGGGCUAAUACCGGAUAACAUUUUGAACCGCAUGGUUCGAAAUUGAAAGGCGGCUUCGGCUGUCACUUAUGGAUGGACCCGCGUCGCAUUAGCUAGUUGGUGAGGUAACGGCUCACCAAGGCAACGAUGCGUAGCCGACCUGAGAGGGUGAUCGGCCACACUGGGACUGAGACACGGCCCAGACUCCUACGGGAGGCAGCAGUAGGGAAUCUUCCGCAAUGGACGA
rnacentral:rRNA from 1 species